rnacentral:snoRNA from 12 species
CCUGGCUGUGAUGACACACUUGCCCUCACUGAGAUUAGUCUUGAUUGAGACACUUGUAUUUUACUGAGCCCCA